GACGAACGCUGGCGGCGUGCCUAACACAUGCAAGUCGAACGGAAAGGCCCUGCUCUUGUUUUUUGCUCGAUUGGCGCACGGGUGAGUAACACGUGAGUAACCCGCCCUUGUCUUUGGGAUAACUUCAGGGAACUCGGGCUCAUACCCGAUAGGAGCUCCUGCUGCAUGGGGUUGGAUGGAAAGUUUCGGCGGUAGGGGAUAGACUCGCGGCUUAUCCGCUUGUUGGUCGGGUAGUGACGUACCAAGGCUUUGACGGGUAGCCGGCCUGAGAGGUUGACCAGCGACCAUGGGACUGAGGGACGGACCAGACGGCAACGGGGGGCAGCAGGGGGGAGUAUUGCAGAAUGGGCGGAAGCCUGAGGCAGCAACGCCGCGUGCGGAAUGACGGGCUUCGAGUUGUAAACAGAUUUCGAAUGAGACGAGGAGUGAGUGACGGUAAUGGGUAAAGAAGCACCGGCUAACUACGUG
rnacentral:rRNA from 1 species